rnacentral:rRNA from 1 species
CGGGUGAGUAACGCGUAGGUAAUCUACCCUAAUAUUUGGGAUAACAUUGGGAAACUGGUGCUAAUACCGAAUACCCUUCUUUUCUGUCGGGUUAAGGAGGAAAGGUGGCCUCUUCAUGAAAGCUACCGUAUAAGGAUGAGCCUGCGUACCAUUAGCUAGUAGGUGGGGUAAUGGCCCACCUAGGCAACGAUGGUUAGCGGGUCUGAGAGGAUGAUCCGCCACACUGGAACUGAGACACGGUCCAG